rnacentral:tRNA from 1 species
CACAUUUUAGUUUUAAGAAUGUAAGCUUUGGGGGCUUGAGGUCUAAAGGUGUGA